rnacentral:rRNA from 1 species
CGGGGGGGGAGCCUAUAAUGCAGUCGAACGAGAUUAGGGGCUUGCUCCUUAUGAAAGUGGCGCACGGGUGCGUAACGCGUAUGCAACCUACCUCAAUCAGGGGGAUAGCCCGAAGAAAUUCAGAUUAACACCGCAUAAAAACACAGGAUAGCAUUAUCUAAUGUUCAAUAUUUAUAGGAUUGAGAUGGGCAUGCGUGUCAUUAGCUAGUUGGGGGGGUAACGGCCCACCCGGGCAAGGAUGACUAUGGGAUCUGAGAGGAUGACCCCCCACACUGGUAGUGACACACGGACCACACUCCUACGGGAGGCAGGAGGAAGGAAUAUUGGUCGGUGGAGGCAACUCUGAACCAUCCAUGCCGCGUGCGGGAAGACAGCCCGCUGGGUCGUAGACUGCUUUUAUUCAGGAAUAAACCUAUUUACCUGUAAAUAGCUGAAUGUACCGAAGGAAUAAGGAUCGGCUAACUCCGUGCCACCAGCCGCGGUAAUACGGAGGAUGCAAGCGUUAUCCGGAUUUAUUGGAUUUAAAGGGUGCGUAGGCGGCUUAUUAAGUCGUGGGAGAAAGACGGUGGCUCAUCCAUCGCAGUGCCGUAGAUACUGAUGAGCUUGAAUGAAAUAGUGUAGGCGGAAUGUGACAAGUAGCGGUGAAAUGCAUAGAUAUGUCACAGAACACCGAUAGCGAAGGCAGCUAACUAUGGUUUUAUUGACACUGAUGAACUGAGCGUGGAGAUCAAAAGAAUUAUAUAGCCUGGUAGUCCACGCCCUAAACGAUGAAUACUCGCUGUUAGCGAUAUACAGUUAGCGGCUAAGCGAAAGCUAUAACUUUCGACCUGGGGAGUACGCCUGCGAGGCUGAAACUCAAAGGCAUUGACGGGGCACGCACAGCGCACGAGCAUGAGGUUGAGUCGAUGAUACACCAGGAACCAUACCCAGACUCGAACGUGACUGAUGAUCACGAGACAGAUCCGGGAGGAGUCACUACGAACUACGUGACUGCAUGCUGCGCAGCUCGUGCGUGAGUCUGGGCUUAUGUCCUGCAACGACCGCAACCGCUAUGUCAGUU